rnacentral:rRNA from 1 species
CGGGUGAGUAAUACAUCGGAACGUGCCCAGUAGUGGGGGAUAGCCCGGCGAAAGCCGGAUUAAUACCGCAUACGACCUACGGGUGAAAGCGGGGGAUCGCAAGACCUCGCGCUAUCGGAGCGGCCGAUGUCAGAUUAGCUAGUUGGUGGGGUAAAGGCCUACCAAGGCGACGAUCUGUAGCUGGUCUGAGAGGACGACCAGCCACACUGGGACUGAGACACGGCCCAG